rnacentral:antisense_RNA from 1 species
ACAGUAUUUGGUAUCUGCGCUCUGCUGAAGCCAGUUACCUUCGGAAAAAGAGUUGGUAGCUCUUGAUCCGGCAAACAAACCACCGUUGGUAGCGGUGGUUUUUUUGUU